GCUUUGAUGGCCAAGAGGUUGGUGUUGGACUUGAAAUCCAAUGGGGUUUCCCUCCGCAGGUUUGAACCCUGUUCUCU